AUUGAACGCUGGCGGCAGGCCUAACACAUGCAAGUCGAACGAGUGGCGGACGGGUGAGUAAUGUCUGGGAAACUGCCUGCUGGAGGGGGAUAACUACUGGCAACGGUAGCUAAUACCGCAUACCAUCAGAUGUGCCCAGAUGGGAUUAGCUAGUUGGUGGGGGAACGGCUAACCAAGGCGACGAUCCCUAGCUGGUCUGAGAGGAUGACCAGCAACACUGGAGCUGAGACACGGUCAAGACUCCGACGUGAGGCAGCAGUGGGGAAUAUUGCACAAUGGGCGCAAGCCUGAUGCAGCCAUGCCGCGUGUAUGAAGAAGGCCUUCGGGUUGUAAAGUACUUUCAGCGGGGAGGCGUUACCCGCAGAAGAAGCACCGGCUAACUCCGUGCCAGCAGCCGCGGUAAUUC
rnacentral:rRNA from 1 species